rnacentral:sRNA from 1 species
AUUUGUUCACUUACUUGGUCUUCUAUAUAUACCUGUUUCUUCCCAAAUAGGGAGCCCAGAAUUUAAAAAACUAAUUAUUUGUUGACCACAGCAAACUAAUUAUUGUUUCCAAAUGGUCUUCUAAGUUUUCUCUUUAGUUAUCCAUACUAUUAUUAUUUCUUCUGUACUUUUUUCACUGUUACACCAGAGUGGAGAAGUUGAAUUAUUCAGAAUGCCAAAGAUCUAGAGAGGUGAAAUUUAACUGUUCUGCCAUGUCCAUCCUGACUUGACUCCAAACUAGAAUAAGCUAACUAUUGCCUUGUUAGCUAGCACAGGAUCAUUUCAUUUUUAGCUAAAAGGAAAUAAAUAACUGGGUCAGGGCUAUCAAUAAGAAGACAGGCUCCAUGUUCCAAAAGUCACCAAAGUUAAGGUAAAGAGGGUGAAUCACAUUGUUAGAGAAUAAUACUGAUCUUUGGGUAUUAACUGUUUCAGCCAGCUCUUGGUUUCACCAUUGUUACAAUAUGGAAAAUCGAAAUAUUUGUAAUUGGCUUUUAAAGGCCAUUAAGCCAUAUUAUCAACACUAAAGAUUAUUUCUUUUUCAAAAUAGACGUUAUGACAGUGUUAUAAAUCGACUGUACACUGGUAUUCAGUGUUACUCUUGUGGAAUGAGGUUUACAACAUCACAGACAGAUGUUUAUGCGGAUCAUUUGGACUGGCAUUAUCGGCAAAAUAGAACUGAAAAGGAUGUUAGCAGAAAAGUCACUCACAGACGUUGGUACUACAGUUUAACAGACUGGAUAGAAUUUGAGGAGAUAGCUGAUCUGGAAGAACGGGCAAAGAGCCAGUUUUUUGAAAAGGUGCAUGAAGAAGUUGUGCUCAAAACUCAAGAGGCUGCUAAAGAAAAAGAGUUCCAAAGUGUACCUGCUGGACCAGCUGGAGCAGUUGAGAGUUGUGAAAUCUGUCAAGAACAAUUUGAACAAUACUGGGAUGAAGAAGAGGAGGAAUGGCAUUUGAAAAAUGCUAUUAGAGUAGAUGGAAAGAUUUAUCAUCCAUCAUGUUAUG